rnacentral:rRNA from 1 species
UCUUAGUACCCGGAGGAAGAGAAAGAAAAUUCGAUUCCCUUAGUAGCGGCGAGCGAAACGGGAAGAGCCCAAACCAACAAGCUUGCUUGUUGGGGUUGUAGGACACUCUAUACGGAGUUACAAAGGACGACAUUAGACGAAUCAUCUGGAAAGAUGAAUCAAAGAAGGUAAUAAUCCUGUAGUCGAAAAUGUUGUCUCUCUUGAGUGGAUCCUGAGUACGACGGAGCACGUGAAAUUCCGUCGGAAUCUGGGAGGACCAUCUCCUAAGGCUAAAUACUCUCUAGUGACCGAUAGUGAACCAGUACCGUGAGGGAAAGGUGAAAAGCACCCCGGAAGGGGAGUGAAAUAGAACCUGAAACCGUGUGCUUACAAGUAGUCAGAGCCCGUUAAUGGGUGAUGGCGUGCCUUUUGUAGAAUGAACCGGCGAGUUACGAUUUGAUGCAAGGUUAAGCAGUAAAUGUGGAGCCGUAGCGAAAGCGAGUCUGAAUAGGGCGUUUAGUAUUUGGUCGUAGACCCGAAACCAGGUGAUCUACCCUUGGUCAGGUUGAAGUUCAGGUAACACUGAAUGGAGGACCGAACCGACUUACGUUGAAAAGUGAGCGGAUGAACUGAGGGUAGCGGAGAAAUUCCAAUCGAACCUGGAGAUAGCUGGUUCUCUCCGAAAUAGCUUUAGGGCUAGCCUCAAGUGAUGAUUAUUGGAGGUAGAGCACUGUUUGGACGAGGGGCCCCUCUCGGGUUACCGAAUUCAGACAAACUCCGAAUGCCAAUUAAUUUAACUUGGGAGUCAGAACAUGGGUGAUAAGGUCCGUGUUCGAAAGGGAAACAGCCCAGACCACCAGCUAAGGUCCCAAAAUAUAUGUUAAGUGGAAAAGGAUGUGGCGUUGCCCAGACAACUAGGAUGUUGGCUUAGAAGCAGCCAUCAUUUAAAGAGUGCGUAAUAGCUCACUAGUCGAGUGACACUGCGCCGAAAAUGUACCGGGGCUAAACAUAUUACCGA